GGGGCCGAUCGGUUUCGACCGGAUGGCGACGGUGCAGGUGGCAUGCCCGGGACGCUCACUUGGCCCGGUUAACAAUGUGGGCAAACAUCAACUGCCAACAACAGUGAUGUCGCUGGCCGCGUCGGCUUCGGCGCCGGUCAGCUCGCAAUGGCUGCCUAAAUUAGGCGGUCUCGGCUCGUGCGGAGGCCUGCGACGCAUGAGCCGAAACAGCAGGCUGGUCGACGUGCUCUGACCGAGGCGCGUCGGCGAGAAACAUCGGUCUGAUCCUCCGCAAAGGCUGGCGAUUGCCGCUGCGGAGGACGACAACAAAUAAUCGCCUAAGCAUGUAGAGGCCGGCAUCGGCGAUAUCUUGGGACGCGGGUUCAAUUCCCGCCGGCUCCAUUU
rnacentral:tmRNA from 1 species